UGGGGAGUACGGUCGCAAGACUGAAACUCAAAGGAAUUGACGGGGGCCCGCACAAGCGGUGGAGCAUGUGGUUUAAUUCGAAGCAACGCGAAGAACCUUACCAGGUCUUGACAUCCUCUGACAACCCUAGAGAUAGGGCUUUCCCUUCGGGGACAGAGUGACAGGUGGUGCAUGGUUGUCGUCAGCUCGUGUCGUGAGAUGUUGGGUUAAGUCCCGCAACGAGCGCAACCCUUGAUCUUAGUUGCCAGCAUUUAGUUGGGCACUCUAAGGUGACUGCCGGUGACAAACCGGAGGAAGGUGGGGAUGACGUCAAAUCAUCAUGCCCCUUAUGACCUGGGCUACACACGUGCUACAAUGGACAGAACAAAGGGCUGCGAGACCGCAAGGUUUAGCCAAUCCCAUAAAUCUGUUCUCAGUUCGGAUCGCAGUCUGCAACUCGACUGCGUGAAGCUGGAAUCGCUAGUAAUCGCGGAUCAGCAUGC
rnacentral:rRNA from 1 species